rnacentral:rRNA from 1 species
UGGGGAAUUUUGGACAAUGGGCGAAAGCCUGAUCCAGCCAUGCCGCGUGCAGGAUGAAGGCCUUCGGGUUGUAAACUGCUUUUGUACGGAACGAAACGGCCUUUUCUAAUAAAGAGGGCUAAUGACGGUACCGUAAGAAUAAGCACCGGCUAACUACGUGCCAGCAGCCGCGGUAAUACGUAGGGUGCAAGCGUUAAUCGGAAUUACUGGGCGUAAAGCGUGCGCAGGCGGUAAUGUAAGACAGGUGUGAAAUCCCCGGGCUCAACCUGGGAACUGCAUCUGUGACUGCAUUGCUGGAGUACGGUAGAGGGGGAUGGAAUUCCGCGUGUAGCAGUGAAAUGCGUAGAUAUGCGGAGGAACACCGAUGGCGAAGGCAAUCCCCUGGACCUGUACUGACGCUCAUGCACGAAAGCGUGGGGAGCAAACA